rnacentral:rRNA from 1 species
GAUGAACGCUGGCGGCGUGCCUAAUACAUGCAAGUCGAGCGAACAGACGAGGAGCUUGCUCCUCUGACGUUAGCGGCGGACGGGUGAGUAACACGUGGAUCACCUACCUAUAAGACUGGGAUAACUUCGGGAAACCGGAGCUAAUACCGGAUAAUAUAUUGAACCGCAUGGUUCAAUAGUGAAAGACGGUUUUGCUGUCACGUAUAGAUGGAUCCGCGCCGCAUUAGCUAGUUGGUAAGGUAACGGCUUACCAAGGCAACGAUGCGUAGCCGACCUGAGAGGGUGAUCGGCCACACUGGAACUGAGACACGGUCCAGACUCCUACGGGAGGCAGCAGUAGGGAAUCUUCCGCAAUGGGCGAAAGCCUGACGGAGCAACGCCGCGUGAGUGAUGAAGGUCUUCGGAUCGUAAAACUCUGUUAUUAGGGAAGAACAAAUGUGUAAGUAACUAUGCACGUCUUGACGGUACCUAAUCAGAAAGCCACGGCUAACUACGUG